rnacentral:rRNA from 1 species
CCUACGGGAGGCAGCAGUGGGGAAUAUUGCACAAUGGGGGAAACCCUGAUGCAGCGACGCCGCGUGAGUGAAGAAGUAUUUCGGUCUGUAAAGCUCUAUCAGCAGGGAAGAAAUAGCGACCUUUGGGUCGCCAGACGGUACCUGAUUAAGAAGCCCCGGCUAACUACGUGCCAGCAGCCGCGGUAAUACGGGGGAUUCGAGGGUUAUCCGGAUUUAUUGGGUUUAAAGGGUGCGAAGGCGGACUGUUAAGGCAGCGGCAAAAGCCCGGGGCUAAACCCCGGCGAGCCGUUGAAACUGGCGGGCUUGAGAUGUCGAGAGGUAUGCGGAAUGCGCAGUGUAGCGGUGAAAUGCUUAGAUAUUGCGCAGAACUCCGAUUGCGAAGGCAGCAUACCGGCGGCGAUCUGACGCUGAGGCACGAAAGCGUGGGUAUCGAACAGGAUUAGAUACCCCUGUAGUC